rnacentral:lncRNA from 1 species
CUCAAGUUUUCCACUGAUUUUCCUCUUUGUGUCUCCAUCCAAUGUUUAUUUUUUCCACAAACAACUAGGUAUGACUGAUAUUGUUUCCCUGUUUCUCUCCCAUUCCUUUAUAGAUAAGACCCUCUCCCUGUCCCUGAAAUGAACAGUGCACCCAAAGCAAGAUUGAAGCUAGGCUCUAGCUGCACUUCUGCCAUUCAUUGGAUGUGCAAACUUCUGCAAAAUACUGAUUUUAUUCUUUGUCUGCAAAAGCUAGUUAAGCACUCUAUUGCCUCUGGACUUCCUGUUGGCUGCCCAUCAGCACCCCGACCUCUCCAGACCUGAGGCUUUUCUCUGUUGGCUCGGCACUUCUUCCUGCCGCCAUGUGAAGAAAGAUGUGUUUGCUUCCCAUUCUGCCAUGAUG